UAUUGGUAAUGGUUUAAGUGCUUUGGUCAGUGGGUCAUUCGAGUGUCACUUUGCAAAGUCUUUUUGUGUAACCUGGUGUUAUUAAUUCUGAUUUUACUGGACAAAUACAAGCUACGGUUUAUAUUCCUUUCCCACCUGUGUAUAUCACCCAAAGCAGUUGUGUUACUCAAUUAAUACCAUUUCAAAGAUUGUAUUAGAGAAAAUAGGCCUUCAAGUCGCACCUGGAAAAAAUUCAAACCUGGAAAUAUUUUAAGUGGAAAAUUUUGAAUGCUACAAUUGAACCCCAGCAAGCCAAAUUGCAAAUAGUAGUUAAAACAAUUUACAAAAGCUAAAUCUUAUUUGUGUAUAACUAAUGCAGAACUAAGUCCAUUAUUUGAUCUUCUUAAGGGAGGACAUGGCUUUAAAAGCACCUCCAGCGAUGCACAACAAACUUUGGGUGGAAUUGAAAAAGCCAUUGCUCAGAAAAAAGCCCAUAGACGACUUGAUGGUCAUCCAAGGUGUGUGUUUUUGUUAUUCUGUGUCAGGCAUUUGCUGAUCAUAGACUUAAAGGACUGUUUCUUCACUAUUCAGUUACAUCCUAAUGACACUCAAGGCUUUGCAUUCACUUUACCCACAAUCAAUAGGGAAGGACCUGAUUUGGGCUUUGAGUGGACAGUAUUGCCGCAGGGCAUGAAAACUAGCCCCACUUUGUGUCGGUUGUUUGCGGAUAAUGCUUUAAGAGAAAUAAGGCGUGCAUGGCCACAAACCAUGAUCUAUUACUAUAUGGACGAUAUUCUUUUUGCACAGAACCGGCCAUUUACCACUCAACAAGAGAAAUAUUUGGAGACACAAUUAACUACACAUAAUUUGAUUAUAGCAAUGGAAAAAAUUCAACGUUCCCCUGUUUGGAAAUAUCUAGGAUGGAGCAUAACGAAUUCUCAAGUACAACCACAAAAAUUAACCUUUUGCACUUCGCUUACAACAGUUAAUGAUGCUCAACGACUUUUAGGAGACCUGCAACAGUUGCGACCUAUAGCAGGAAUCACCAAUGAUGAACUAGAUGCUUUGCGUCCUCUUUUAAAAGGAACUGAUCCAGCACGGAAAAUUACUUUAACAAUCGAACAACGACAAAUGAUACAACGCCUUAGUGAAACUCUUGUCGACCGCACAGUGGACCGUAUAGAUCCCAACUUGCCUGUGGACCUCACAAUUCUCCAAGAGCGAUCCCAAUUUAUCAGAGCCCUUACGCAAAUAAAGAAAAAGGGGGAGAUUAGAGUACUCGAAUGGAUCUUUACAAUGGAUGCAUCAUGAUCUGAAUGUAGUAACGGACUCCAUGUAUGUUGCCAAUAUAGUGAAUCGUGUAGAAGAUGCUCGAAUAAAAGAAAUACACAAUCAACGCUUGUUUGAUUUAAUUCGACAACUACAAUCAGCUAUCCGACAACGAACGUGCCCUUUUUGCAUAGUACAUAUUAGAAGUCAUAUGUGGACAGAAGGACUUGGAGAAGGAAAUUAUAGAGCAGAUCAACUUGUAUCUUUGGCCGCACCACUGAGUGAUUUUGUGAAGGCACGAGAAGCACAUAAUGCCUUUCACCAAAAUGCACGAGGACUACAUCGACAAUUCAACAUUACAAUGGAGGAAACAAAAGGAAUUGUCCGCGCCUGCCCUACAUGCAGUCAUCAUGGACCUGGUUUAGGGUUAGGUGACCAAAAUGGAUCCCCAGCAAAUGGACAAAGGCUGCAAUAACACCAGGAUCCCAUGAACCAUCCUUGGAACAUUCCGACUGAGAAAGACAAGCAGAGGAUUAGAGAAAAGGGCUUGUUGAUUAUUAAACCUAUUCUUGAGGAAUUAAGAGGGUUAGAAAAGGGAAUUGAUAAGAUCUUGGAUCGUUGUGUUUCUUUUGAAACAAUCAUAGCAGGAAUUGAUGAAUUAUCGGCAUUUAAGAUACACGGACCUGCAAGGCAUAAUUGUCUUGAUUGUGGGAUAUCAAAUUGUACAGCAUGGGUAGCUUUGUUUUGCGGAAUGUGUGAAAAAAUAUUUUGGGUUAAACAAGUAUUUUUGAGAACAUUGUGGUGUCCCAGCUGUGAAUUCAAAAGUGGUUCUUGUAAUUGGCAGCGGGAAUUACAACGGCAAACUAGGGUAUCUACACUUGCCUCUUUAGCAUUGUAUGAAUCAUUUGAACAAAAAGUUUUGGCUUAUAAUCGAUUUGAAGCAAAAGCUUGCGUUAAAAGAAUACGAGGACAGGCAAAAUCAAAGUUAUUAGCAUUUCUUUGUAUUAACAAAGUGCCUUUUUCAAGGCACUCGUUAUUUGGCCCUACUAAGGGAGAUUUAAAGAAAGAACUAUAUAAAGCAAUAGAGAAGAAGAGCAGGAACGACGUGUAAUUAUGUCUUUACAUAGAUAUGCUUGGUUAUUUAGCAUUGUAAUAGUCACAGUAACAGGAAUAACGUAGUUCAAUCAACCAAGAGAAAAUCUUUGGGUAACAUUUGCCAAGCAGCUCAAUCAGUCUUCUCUCUGUCUUAGUUUAGGUGGUGUUACCAAUCCUUUUCGAACGUGUUUGAUCGGCCUACCUGUGUGGAAAUCAGAGGAAUUUUGUGGUCUUGUAGAUAAUGACACACUCUGUAGAAAUCUAUCCUCAGUAAAGAUAGCAGAAGGACCCAUAAAGAUCAAGGGGACUCCACCACUUGAAGAUGCCUAUCAGCAGUGUCAGUUAAUACUGUCACUUAAUACCACCUUGCAUUCACCCCCUGAAGAGUUAAACCUCUUUGGAAGUGCGAAUGCCAGUUUAAGCAAUUCCUCAGGGGGAUGGGUCGACUUUGAGCCUAUAAGUGACAAGGCGCCCCGACCGUGGUUAAAACACAGGGGCACUUGGGCUACUUUGGACUCUAAUUUAGAUUGGUUUAGUGUUAUGGACCAAACGUUUGAUAAAUGCAAUGCCAGCAAAAUCGACACCCCAAAAAGGCUGCCGAGGGGCAUCUUCUUGAUUUGUGGAGAUAGAGCAUGGAAUGGCAUACCGGCGCAACCACAAGGAGGGCCUUGCUAUCUUGGCAAACUAUCACUGUUUCACCCUAAUAUAUCCUUGAUCAUGCAGUGGAGCCAAAACACGAGCAGGAAAGAACGGAG